UCAUUCAAUGUUGGAUUUAUCAUCACGGACAUGUUGUGCAAAGUCUCCGAAAAGACAUUGAAGUUCCAGGCCGCACUACAAAUCUUCUGAAAGGGCCACGGUCGCACGGAAGCCCUGCCUGGAAUGGCGCAAGUGUUAGCUCCCAGUCAAUACAAACCGGUUACUGCUGACAUCUUUGGCCACUAGCCACAGUUUGCAGGACCGUCCGUCCACAAUGUUGUGGAAAUGACGACCAUCCUCCACAGAACUAAUCAUUUCCUCCACCUCUAUUGCUCACCUUGCAAGCCAGGAGGCACUCCGUCAUGCUGCUGGUGCCUCAUCAGGAUUUUGUCUGGGAAAGUGUAGCUGCCCAGCUUCCUGCUCCUGAGGGACGUUGCCUUUAUGGCUGUGAACAUAAAUUUCCUGUGUGACAAUGGACACUGCAGUCGUGCUGACUGUGAAAGAGUAGCUUGGAGUUAUCAGAGGAACUCAAUCAACAAAAGAAACUUUCCUCACUUUAAAGUGCACUCCUCACACUUUCAUAAGAGCCACAAGCAGUUGAUUAUUGUCGUUGGACUUCAUCCUUUUUUUCCUCCGAAGACUGACAUGGUGAGCAGCCUCUCGCCCUGAAGGACCCCGUCCCACGUCUGAACCGUGUCACUGGAACGUACUGGAAUGGUUCCCUCGCCGGACUCGAUUUUAGUGCGGAGCUGGCCGCGGGCCCUUCUGUUCGGAUGUCUGUCCCCCUGAUCUGACACAGAGAAUGGACACAGUAAUACUGUACCGCCUACAAAGGGACUCAUGUUUGGGGAGGAGCAGUAAACGAUCAAUGUGUUUGUGGGGAGAUGAAAAGCUUCAUGAGGAGAAAAGAUGCGGGCAUCUCCACAGGGCGAGGUGCUGAUGUACAGGUGGAACUGGACAUCCUCCUUCAGUCUGAAGCCUCGUCUGGUGUCGCACCUGGUGAAGACGGACUUCUGGUGCUCCUCUUCGUUGUGACUGAAGACGCACACGGUGACGAAUGACUGCCUCAGCUGAUGUCGAGGUGGCGUCGCUCCGACUCGACCUGCAGAAACACAACGUGAGUCAGAGACACUUUCAUCAAAAAAUACAUAUGAAGCUAGAGUCAUUGGAGUCACGAAGAGAUGAAAGGACAGCAAUGAAUCCAAGAAGCCUCUUAGAUGAAAGGACAGCAAUGAAUCCAAGAAGCCUCUUGGAUGAAGGUAAAAUGUCUUAAUGGAUCUAUAACCGAGUCCAGCCACUCCUGAUUCAACACGCUGGUGGAUAACUGUGACCGGAUGAAUGAGGAUCUUGUUGAACACUUCGGGGGGAACACCCUCAGUGUGGUGCGGGAGUAUGAAAGGACAGCCAAGGUUGAAUCGCAGACUACAGGAACCACAGUCUGCCUUUCAACCUGAGAUGACUAUAAACUUUGCAUAUCACAUAAAAAUGAUGCCUUUUUAAUGAUGUGUAGAGGUUUGAACCUGACGGCCGACCGGGACCGGGAGUUUGCAUGUUCUCCUUGUGCCACUGUGGGUUUUCUCUCCCGCGCUGCAAACGCAUUCAGGUUAGGUUGUUUAGAGACUCUAAACUCACUGCCCAUAGGUGUGAAUAUGAGCCUGAAUGGUUGUUUGUAUCUACAUGUCGUCCCUGUGAUAGACUGGAGACUGGAACGUCAGCUGGGAUUAGAUCUGACCUGCCGGUAUGGCUGAGGAAUGAAUUAAUGUAUCUGUGAUGUCAGAGAAGAACUUAUCCUGCCUUCACGUGGUAUUGGAUUUAUUGUAAAUACGAGUUGCCGACUUGGAAAUAGCACAUGAACACCCCCUCAAGUCGUUAUCAUGAGUGGAAAACUCUGAGAUAAUUUUGGCACUGAGUUCUGGGGUGACCAGAACCUUGGCAUGGCAGAGAAGAGACAGAUUCAGUAAUACAAGUGCAGUGUAACAGGUGUAACAACUAUUAGCUGUUGCUUGUGAACAUAAUUUUAACCUGUAAUCAAUGUUCACUUAACUUGAUAUAGACCAAUAAUAUUUAUAACAAAUGGACUAUAGUCUGCCAGCGCGGUGCAAAGUUAUUACAUCAGCUGACGUUACCUUGUCCACAGUUGCGUUCCUUCUUUGACAAAUUUUUUAUUUAGUUUCAUUCAUAUUUUCCGACAACAAAGCACUAUAAUUUUAAAAAUUCCGACUUCACCAGUGGGAAGUAGGAUCUUCCGACUCGCACGUGAAGGCAGCAAUACCAAUACCAAAUGAGCAGUACCAAUGCCCCACAUGAGGUUCUGGAAGUCCAUAUUAUGAUAAGGGACGUGUUACAGGUAGUUCCCAGACUACUCCAUUUUAUUUGACCUACGUGUUUGAGGAGGAAACCCAUGCUGACAAGAAAAUAAUCCCUUAUUUAGUGGGACAGUGAUACAUAAAAUGUAGUUUAUUAUAUCUUUUUACUUACACACACACACACACACUUAAUGGAAAUAUUAAGUUUUCACUGUAACAUUUUAUCAUUGUGCAUAUCCAGGAGGCAAAGCCACAAGACAUUCUCCAUCUCCAUUAUCUAAACCGCUGCAUCCCGUAUUCAAAUGGUUUUCUUGUAUAGGCAUGGGUGAUGAUGAUAUAAUUGCACAUCAGCCACCACAGUGGACUGUGAUGUGGCAUCCAUAGACUGUAUAUAAAAAUGGACGUAGUAAACUGGGCCAGAAAGUGAAGCCACUUAAUAUUGGAGUGCCGGGAAGAAACAAAUCCAUACAUUGGGAGAAAUCUAAGCGGUAUGAGCACAGCGUCUUCAGCUGCAACCCUCAACAAACCCCAUCUACAAGAACAGAGAAUCUGGACACAAGCAGUCAGAGUUAACUAUCGACGUGGCUCGCUUGCUACAGCGUGAUUGACAGAUGGCCUGCACGGUUAUAAUAAUAAUAAUACAUUUUAUUUGUAAAGUACUUUUCAUUGUUAAAAGCAAUCCCAAAGUGCUACAGAGUAAAACAAGAUUAAAAACAGGUUUAUAAAACAGGAGCAUAAAAUAAUAAUAAUAUAAAUUUUUGUUGAGAUUGAGUUGACAUGGGUUUUAUCUUUACUUUGCACAUUAGAAACGUAGUUUAUACAGCUCUUUCAUUUAGCUGUGAUGGACCAGCUCAAAGCUCAAGUACACAAAAUAAAUUCCUCACUGCUUCCCAAGGACACUCUCCAGACUCCGUCUCUCUCUAACAUUUUCACCGGGACCCUGUGAAAUCGUUAUGACGGCUUUAAUUUGCCGCGUGGCCCCCGGCUCUAGCUGCAGCCGCUGGGCCAAUGCCGUAUCAAUUGCACACGCUAAUGCAACUCACUUAACCAAUAGCAACCCCCCCACCCGAGACAUUUUUGCUGCUGACAGCAGCUGUUUGAAUCACCGUUAAAACCACUGUUCAAACCACUUCUCCUUGGCCGUAGGGGGCCGAGGAGAAGUGGCAGCCUUCCUCGUGGUGAAGCAAUUAGGUGGAUUAUCUCCUUCCAUACUGCAGAGGAGACGCGGAGCGACAGAGAGAAGGCUUUUACAGUGCUUUUGUCAAUUAGGCUUUUGGGGUGAGUGACCACAGAAGUCGCAAAUGAAAUAAAGCUCAUGUGUUCGGCUCAAGGUCAUCACGCGUGUGAUAAACCUAUAAGUGAACAGUGAACGUAAUCGGACUGAUGCAUUAGAGAAAAAAAGACGGUGGUUUGAUAAACCCCACAGCAUCACGGAGGUGGGUCUUUUGGAGCAUGUCCUCCAGAAACAAAGGUUCUGUUUCGCCUACAGUCACGGAAUCCAUGCACCAAGUAGUGACGAUUGCGAAUUAAUAAAGACUGUUGGGUGGAUUGUUUAGGCACAAAUUAUUUUUGUGAGUAAUUUGUUCCAUCUGCUCCAUUUCGUUGCGUGUUUUAAGAACCUGCUCAGGUUCGAUAAAGAGACAGUGGCAGAGAGGGGAUGGGUGAGGACCCCCGUCAUGAUUCUGCCUGUGAACUGUUGAGGACAUUAGGAAACUCUCUGUAAGACUUUGGGUUUUCUCUGGACUUGUUGUUGUAUUUAGAACUUUUGUGAAAGUUUUUGGUUAGCACUGGACUUCUGAUUUCAUGUUCUAUAUCAUUCUGUGCUCCCAGUUCGUCUGGUUAGUUGUUUCCUGUUCUGUCUGCUCUUUGUCGCAACUCCCAUGAUUUCUCCUGCUCAGUUUUGUGUCCAUGCGAUGGAUUUUCCAGUUUUUGCUCCUUGUGUUUCCCAAUGCGGAUACCUAAGUUGGAAUUUGCUUUUGUUUCACUUGUUGGAUUGUAAUUUUGUUUUUUGAUUCCCCUUUAAUUAAUAUACUUAAUAUACUACAACCUGGGUUGUAUUCCAGAGAGCAGAUUUAACAAAUCUGAACCUCACCCUGAACUCUGAGUUAAUCUUCUCUGAGAUGGGAAAAUUCUGAGUUUUCUGUUCCAGAACAGCUGUUCUGAGUUCAUUCAAUCAACUCUCAAUAUGUUCACUCUGAAGUACGCAUGUGGCGGCCCACAAAAAAAAGCCAUCAUCAACGGAGCUCCGAUACUACGAGUCACAAUGGCGACCGAGGAGAAAACAAGGUCCUCCUACGUCACACUGUUAGAUUUAGAGAUACAACGUUGUGCUUAUUGAGAAAAUGAGAUCAUUCAGAAAAAACAGAGCAAUUCACAACAUGCCUUCACAAUCCAAAUUAAAUCCAAACGAUUAAGCUUCAAGUUGCAUUAGAUAUAUGAUUGGUCUCUUGUGUCAUUAAUACUGCUGUGAUUACCUAUUAUAGGAAUUUAAUUAGUUACUUUUUUUUUAAGUAUAAGUUACAGUAUUGAUUUUGGUCCCUCUGACUGAUAUAUUAUUAUAUUGUAUAUGGCUUUUGAAACUGGAAACUGAAUUCCAGGUUCACCCAAGCGCUAGCUGACCCUUCUCCAUCCCAGUCUCUCUGCGUCAGUGGCCUCGCCAGGCACAACAGACGGCUAUCUCUGUUCUCUUCAGUCGAGGCAAGGCUGAGCCUCUGCUAUCUCCCAGAGAGAGGGGGGAGAGAUGGGGGGAAAGGAUGGGACGGGACUGAUGUUGAAUUUCACAGCCCACAGCCUCAGGAUUAUUACAAGACCAGGAGCUGACAGGCAGGUGGAGGUGGAGGGUUGAUGCUGUCACCUGAUGCCUAACAAGUAGGGUAUGUCUCACUGUCCACACUCUAACAGUCUGAAUGUUAAAUGAACUCAGCAUUUAGUGAAUUCCAUGUGACAAUCACGUUUCUGUUGUUUUUACAAUCCUUAAAGGCAACGUCACGUGGUCACAUAGAUGCAGUUUGGAGUGGUGUGUCAUUGCUGAUUUAUGGGCCAAAGAUGCUGAUGCAUUUUGAUCCCGGAUUGAGCCAAAGAUUCCUGAAGGAUAUGUCAUGAAUCUAUCAUGAAUCUAAAGACGAAUUUAAACCUUGUGACUGAAACUUUCCUCUGAACCGUGUUCUGGUGCAGCACGCUCUUGUGGCUUGGCAGCUGCUUGAGGUGGAUGUCACUGUUCAUCAAACACCAAAUAGCACUGAUUCAUCUGUUCAGAUUUAAAAACGACAUUUACAAAACUAAAGACAGAAUGAGAGAAGAAAACGUGAAACUGAAUUUGCCGCUAAUGUAAUGCUGUGGUUCGUCAGUUAAGAGUGUGGAACUACACCGCAGACUGGAGAGACAGCAGUAUUUAUUUACCAGUAUGAAAGCUGUUUUAUAACAGGACAUGAAUGUGUCUGCUGUAUAAACACAAGGCACCUAACGGAUUUACGGGUUUCUUUGCAGUGUGACUGCAAUCCUGUGUCCCGCCCCAUCAUUUUGCUGGCAUAAUCCAAUGAUUGGCCUUAACAAGUAGAUCAGUCCGGCCCAAGACUGUCCACAAUGGCAACCACACAAUUUGGCCUGUAUGGCUGACAAGCCAGACGACGUUCCACAGUGUUACCCUGUUGGUAACAAAUCAAAAGAUAAAUCCAGAGCCCCAGCAGCUCGUCAUUUCCUCUAAAUGCCAGUCCUAUUUCUUCUAAAAUCUCAAUCAGCGCAGAGCAUCCCUCCAAUAUUGCCUCACAUCCAAAGUUUCCAGCAUUAGUGCCUAGUCAGUUGCCCCCUUGGACAUAUGUUUUGGACUCCUCGUGUUCUGAAACGCCAUGUGGAUGUUUCCAGUCGCAAAAGUUGCCCACAAAGGCAUUCUUCUUCAUCCCAAAAAGUUUGCAGACAAAGCAGAAAUCAUUUACAGAUGAUGGCAAAUAUAACAGAUGUUUUCCGAGGUGCUAGUUGUCCAUUAGGGCAAUCAAAUGGAAAACAUGCCAUUUGUUAAUGAACGAACCCGACCACGUUGACCGCCAUUUCCAAGGCAGCAUCUCUAGCUUUGUUUUUGAUUUUGAUUUUAUGCUUUGCCUAUCUGCUGGCACACGUUUCUCCAUGUUGUCCACAAUAUUAAUACAUUUUGAUGCACAGUAGCGGAGGUGGUGUGCGUGCGUGUGUGUGCAUGUGUGUGUACAGAGAUCUGUCAGACAGACACAUCCCUUAGCAGCAGUGGGCUGUACACGCCUCACAGAGCACAUCAGCUUAUACCUAGUCUGAAAUUCACUUUUGCUUCUCGUAGAUUAAACUCACACUUCACUUCAUCUCCCAACACCUCGCUUAGCAGGGACAAGAUUGGCUUUUUAUUCUCCCCGCAUGCAAAGUAUGCACAAUGGCAUUUAUCACGGUCUCUGUGAAUGACAGUAAUAUUUGGACAAAUUGAACAGAAUAGGUGGAAUUAAAAGUUUGAAAAAAAAUCCCAGUACACCUGGCAAAAUUUUAAUUAAUGUGAGGAUCAACUGCACUUGAGUUUCGCAGCCAGUGACUAUAUUGCCAGAUGUUAAUAGUAAAUCUGAAAUCCAGAUUAAUGUGUAUAUGGGUUAAGUCACCACUUACUUAUGUUAUUAAUUUAUAUUGAAAAAUAUUGUUUACAUGUGCAUUGUCAGAUGUCAGGUUGUUGAAAGUGUAACUUUUCUAUGAAUGGAACUCUGUCCCAAAUAAACUUCAAAAAAACAGCUUCUAAAAACAGGAUAUUGGCCACUGUUAUCAGUGAUUUUUAACUUUAAAAUUUGAUGGUGACAAAACGUCUUUAUCUCUUCUGCUCUAAUAGGAAUACAAUACACUGGAAUCACUUAAAACAAUUUUUUUUUUAUUACAGAUUUCAUAUGUAUUUUUUAAUUUAAUUAUUUUAUUUAUUUAUUUAAUUUUAUCUUAUUUAUUUCUUGCAGUAAGUUACAUAGUGAAAACCAAAGAAGACAUGUUAAGGUGUAACGGAAUAAUUGACAACAUUUUUAAAUGGAUUUCACUUUUGGGUAAAAGGGUAAAUAACAACUCAAAACUCAAGACUCAGGAGUUUGGAUUAAAACAUUAAUCACGUCAAAUGUCCUGCAUAAAUUACCCAUAAAGUCACUUCCCCUGUUUUUUGCCAUUGAAAAUUAAAGGUUAAAACAAACAAAGAAACAAAUAAGAACCAACCAAAAAAGCUAUGAAAAAAUAAAAAUCCACAACAAGAGUGAAUAGAUAAAUAAAAAUCUGAGAUGCUUAGAGUUUUGUCAUGUGCUGACCUGCACAUCUAUGGACGUCACAGGAGUCAGGCUGGGGCCAAACAGACCAAGCAGUUUGCAACGGUAGCCCUCGGGACUCGUGAGCAGAACAAACCAGCACUGCUCUGAAGUCAGUCUAAAAACACACAGCAGAGCAGAGCGGAACAGAGGCUACACAUGUCCUACCUUUGCGCUCAGAGCGUUUCUUUCUCCUCCUCCUGAACCUGCGGCGGAUCAGGCAGUAGUAGGCUGCUGUGGAAUGGAACCUGUCCGGCAACAAUGCCAUGGCUCAUCCACUCAGCUGGUCUUCACUCUCAGCCUAAUGCAUAGUGUAAACAGCGCCUGUCCAACUUUGGACAAAGGAGGGGAGAAUACCAUGAUGGCAGGCACAGAGCUGCCGGCACAGAGACUUUCUGUGGUGAAUGUCUGUCAGAUCAAUGGACUGGGACGUUUCCUGCUCUCCUCCUCCCUCUCUCUGUCACCGUCUCUCAUCUCUCUCUCUCCGCACCCCACUCUUGAAUUCUCACUCCGGGCUAUGAUGCACCUGGCAAACAAGUGUAUUUGUAAAAUAAAAUACCAAAAGGGGCUUUCAAAAUAUGCAAGUGACACUUGAUGAGACACGCACUUGGAGAAAAAGCGACAGUUUUGUGUUUGUGCUGCAGCUUUAACAUGGUGCUGUCGUUGAUCUAAUGUAAGUCAGAAGCCUUUCAUAAACCUUGGUAAUAUACCAAUUAAUUCAACAGUCAAGUUCAUUUGGCAUAGUGGGAGCGGGGGAAUCUAUCGAACAAAGCACCUCUACCUUUGUACAGUACUAAUGCAGUUCCCUGACUGGGCUGCUGACAUUCAUAGACAAGAGGGAGCUCUCAGAAAUGUACCCAUAUUUGUGGCCUGCUCUCAGAACAUGCCUCACCCUUCCAGUCACUGUAGCUGAAGCAGAGAGGAGCUUUUCAAAGCUGAAACACGGGAAAAGCCUUACUGUUAUCAGUAUUAACAUGCAGUGGCUGAUUUCAUUUGAUGAUGUGAUUGAAACCUUCCUGCCGCGAGGCGACCGAGCUAACCAUCGGACCACCGCGCAGCCUUGUUUCUGCCCAUUCUUAUAAAAAAAACUACAAAUAAAUGUAUAGCCUCUUAUGGAAGUGCGAUUAUAAAUCACUGCAGUACUGCAUGACAGUCAUGUUCAUCAAUCGGUGUAGGAUUUGAAAAUGUCUGACGGGAAACUCCAGUCAAAGAAAAGGUUCAGACGGAAAUGCCAGGCCGAUUUGACCCAGAGGGUUUGUUCUUACAUGGGAAGAAAAUAAUAAUUAGAUCGGAAAAAUGUGAUAUUUAUUUUUUAUAAAAUGUGUAUGUGUUAUCAAAUAGCGAUUGUUUGUAAAAGGAAGGUGGUAUUUAAAUAUAUUUUGAGGACCUAGAAGUGUGGAAGGAAACAGGGCAGUGAUUCUUGGUUUGAAUGUCAGCGCUGCCCCCUUGUGUGCUCUACUGAAAACACAGCUGAGACUUAUAGUGACACACGUGCAUGACCCUUUUUUCAUACUACUAAUAAUUAUUAUUACAAUCAAAUAUCACAUGAUUGCAAGAAACAACAAAUCACAUAUUCACGCUAAAGUGAUGUGAUAACAAUGACUGCAUUCCCUAAAGAUGUUUCACUUCCAGGGUCCUGGCAUUGCUCAUGCUGGUUUACCGGGAUGGCCUACAGGACCUCUAUAUGGAGACUAUGACGAGGCAAAAGGUCUACGAUGAGAAACAUUUAACGGGUCUCUGCAAAAUACGGUAUACCCCUUAUCACCAACUGAAAGUUAUUAAUAUGCAGGAUCCCUUCAAAAUGUCAGUGUCUGCGAGGUACAUUUGCGAUACUUAUUACAUCACCUCUGAAAUAUGACUGACUGACACAUCUGUUCAAACUCCCAGUCGGGUAGAAAGGGUUCGCCCUUUAACUCCGUGAAGCUGAGAUCUGAGCCCAACACACUGAUCAGAUACAUUCCAAUUCAAAGCUUGUUCUCACAAAGUCGUUGAGUAAUUCUGAAUGAAUGCAGGUCGCACUGUUACGGAAUGGGAUCCACUAUCACAAUCAAAAUGUGUCAGCGUGUCAGUUUGACCUGUGGAAACACUGUGCUGCUCUUCCAUUGUGGCAGGGAGAAAGAAAAAGAUCCAAUGCACCAAUUGUUUCGCCUCAUUUAAAGUCAAUUCAGGCUAAAACUGUCUGGCAUGAGUGGACGGACCGCCGGGGGCAGGGGGUGCGGCCGCCCCAGCCUGGGCUGUACCUUUUGACUCUAUUGCAACAAUAUUUGUCCGCUCUCUGCAGGCAGGGUGCCCGGAUUUAAACUUUGGGUGGGAAGAUAAUACUGUUUGGUGUCGUUCGUUCUAAAACAUGUAAAUGCAGACAGAGCAAGUUGUGUUGUUUAUACAAGUGGAACAUGCCGGUAUAUGCAUGACUGUGAAACUUAAACAUAAUAGGUUAUCCAAUCUAUCAUGCUAGAGAGAGAAAGAGAGAGUGCUGGGGUUGCUGGGGUGACAUUGUUAAUAAAAUCACAUAACUUUUAUUUGCUCCUGGUUUCUUUGAUAUUAUCUCACCAUGUCGUCUGGAGACUGUGCUUCUCUUCCAUGACAUAGUCACCAUCUGGUCCACAUACUAUGCUAUUAACAUUUAUAUUAAAGACCUACUAACUUUGAAUAAGCCAUGUGUUUGGCAGAGAAACCCUGGAUUGUACUGGGCUAUGCUAUUCUCUUCUUAUCCAUCAUCUCUUGUCCUUUUAUCUUUUUUCGUCUCCGUGCUCUUAUCUGCGCGGCCACUCUGCUGAAUGAGUCCCCAGAGGGCUGUAGAAUUACACCGGCGCAGAGGUCGUUCGAUUGGCUGUCUCUCACUGUAUCGGAAAAUGUCUGUCUUGAUGGAAGGAGCACUGCAGAGGGGACGCUAGCUGACAGGCCACGAACUGCAAGACCACACAUGCAAAUGAACACACGCUCUUACAGACACUUGCACAUUAACCUUAAGCCAUAAUAAUGAUUAAAGUCGGAGUUUUAAAUAAACAGGUUCAUUAAAAAUACCUCUGUGCCAGUAGCCAGCUAGUAGUCAGCAAGGCUAAGUAGAGCAUGUGGUAUAGGUCAUUCUGGUUUUGAAAAGCUGAUUGUCGGCCUCUCGAGAAUGUUAACUUCAUCGAGGCACAUUUUUCUUAGCAUUUUCUUAGUGACACUGCGACUGCAUCUCCACAACCUGCACCCAACCUGCGUCUUUUACUUGACAAAAAAAUGGUUGCAUGUCAAUUUCUUUGGAGAGCGCAACCUUCUGCGUCUUUUCGACAGUUGCCGUAAUGCUUUUCAACGAUGAUGUUUAACAGCUCACGUGUUUCAUUUAUCCUGGUCUGACGGGAUGAAGGACGUUUGAAUCUACUAUUUUUGUUAUUUUCUGUGUAAGUUAUUUGCUCUCCUGAAAUUUGUUUUGUUUCUCUGAAUUUUCGCACAGGCAAUAAAC